GAUGAACGCUGGCGGCGUGCCUAAUACAUGCAAGUAGAACGCUGAAGGAAGGAUCUUGCUCUUUCCGGAUGAGUUGCGAACGGGUGAGUAACGCGUAGGUAACCUGCCUGGUAGCGGGGGAUAACUAUUGGAAACGAUAGCUAAUACCGCAUAACAGUAGAUGUUGCAUGAUAUCUACUUAAAAGGUGCAAUUGCACCACUACCAGAUGGACCUGCGUUGUAUUAGCUAGUUGGUGAGGUAACGGCUCACCAAGGCGACGAUACAUAGACGACCUGAGAGGGUGAUCGGCCGCCCUGGGACUGAGACACGGCCCAGAGGCCUACGGGAGGGAGCAGUAGGGAAUCGUCGGCAAUGGACGGAAGGCUGACCGAGCAAGGCCGCGUGAGUGAAGAAGGGUGUCGGAUCGUAAAGCUCUGUUGUAAGAGAAGAACGAGUGUGAGAGUGGAAAGUUCACACUGUGACGGUAUCUGAACAGAAAGGGACGGCUAACUACGUG
rnacentral:rRNA from 1 species